UGAACGCUAGCGGCAGGCUUAAUACAUGCAAGUCGAGGGGCAGCACGGGUAGCAAUACCUGGUGGCGACCGGCGCACGGGUGCGUAACGCGUAUGUAACCUACCUUAGACUGGGGAAUAGCCCCGAGAAAUCGGGAUUAAUACUCCAUAAUAUUAUGAUGUGGCAUCACAUUGUAAUCAAAGCUCCGGCGGUUUAAGAUGGGCAUGCGUGACAUUAGCUAGUUGGUGAGGUAACGGCCCACCAAGGCUACGAUGUCUAGGGGUCCUGAGAGGGCAUUCCCCCACACUGGUACUGAGACACGGACCAGACUCCUACGGGAGGCAGCAGUAAGGAAUAUUGGUCAAUGGACGCAAGUCUGAACCAGCCAUGCCGCGUGCAGGAUGACGGCCCUACGGGUUGUAAACUGCUUUUGUACGGGAAAAAACCCUCGCUCGUGAGCGGGGCUGAUGGUACCGUAAGAAUAAGGAUCGGCUAACUCCGUGCCAGCAGCCGCGGUAAUACGGAGGAUCCGAGCGUUAUCCGGAUUCAUUGGGUUUAAAGGGUGCGCAGGCGGGGCGAUAAGUCAGGGGUGAAAUCCUACAGCUUAACUGUAGAACUGCCUUUGAUACUGUCAUCCUAGAGUAUACUUGAAGUGGGCGGAAUGUAGCAUGUAGCGGUGAAAUGCUUAGAUAUGCUACAGAACACCGAUCGCGAAGGCAGCUCACUAAAUUAUAACUGACGCUCAUGCACGAAAGCGUGGGGAUCAAACAGGAUUAGAUACCCUGGUAGUCCACGCCGUAAACGAUGAUUACUCGAUGUUGGCGAUACACUGUCAGCGUCUG
rnacentral:rRNA from 1 species